rnacentral:rRNA from 1 species
GACGAACGCUGGCGGCGCGCCUAACACAUGCAAGUCGAACGAGAGAUGAGGAGCCUGCUCUUCAAAUCGAGUGGCGAACGGGUGAGUAACGCGUGAGGAACCUGCCUCAAAGAGGGGGACAACAGUUGGAAACGACUGCUAAUACCGCAUAAGCCCACGGCUCGGCAUCGAGCAGAGGGAAAGGAGCAAUCCGCUUUGAGAUGGCCUCGCGUCCGAUUAGCUAGUUGGUGAGGUAAUGGCCCACCAAGGCGACGAUCGGUAGCCGGACUGAGAGGUUGAACGGCCACAUUGGGACUGAGACACGGCCCAGACUCCUACGGGAGGCAGCAGUGGGGAAUAUUGCACAAUGGGGGAAACCCUGAUGCAGCGACGCCGCGUGGAGGAAGAAGGUCUUCGGAUUGUAAACUCCUGUUGUUGAGGAAGAUAAUGACGGUACUCAACAAGGAAGUGACGGCUAACUACGUG